CCUACGGUCGGCAGCAGUGAGGAAUAUUGGUCAAUGGGCGAGAGCCUGCACCAGCCAAGUCGCGUGAAGGAUGACGGCCCUACGGGUUGUAAACUUCCUUUGUCAGGGAGCAAUUGAGUCCACGUGUGGGCUUAGCGAGAUUACCUGACGAAAAAGCAUCGGCUAACUCCGUGCCAGCAGCCGCGGUAAUACGGGGGAUGCGAGCGUUAUCCGGCUUUAUUGGGUUUAACGGGUGCGUAGGCGGAAUAUCAAGUCAGAGGUAAAAAUUCGGGGCUCAACCCCGUCGUGCCGUUGAAACUGAUGUUCUUGAGUGGGCGAGAAGUAUGCGGAAUGCGUGGUGUAGCGGUGAAAUGCAUAGAUAUCACGCAGAACUCCGAUUGCGAAGGCAGCAGACCGGCGCCCAACUGACGCUGAAGCACGAAAGCGUGGGUAUCGAACAGGAUUAGAUACCCGGGUAGUC
rnacentral:rRNA from 1 species